rnacentral:rRNA from 1 species
CACGUAGGGUGCGAGCGUUGUCCGGAAUUAUUGGGCGUAAAGAGCUCGUAGGCGGUGUGUCGCGUCGGCCGUGAAAACCUGCAGCUUAACUGUGGGCUUGCGGUCGAUACGGGCAUCACUGGAGUUCGGCAGGGGAGACUGGAAUUCCUGGUGUAGCGGUGAAAUGCGCAGAUAUCAGGAGGAACACCAAUGGCGAAGGCAGCUCGCUGGAACGGUACUGACGCUGAGGCGCGAAAGCGUGGGGAGCAAACAGG